rnacentral:rRNA from 1 species
GAUGAACGCUGGCGGCGUGCCUAAUACAUGCAAGUCGAGCGAACGGACGAGAAGCUUGCUUCUCUGAUGUUAGCGGCGGACGGGUGAGUAACACGUGGAUAACCUACCUAUAAGACUGGGAUAACUUCGGGAAACCGGAGCUAAUACCGGAUAAUAUUUUGAACCGCAUGGUUCAAAAGUGAAAGACGGUCUUGCUGUCACUUAUAGAUGGAUCCGCGCUGCAUUAGCUAGUUGGUAAGGUAACGGCUUACCAAGGCAACGAUGCAUAGCCGACCUGAGAGGGUGAUCGGCCACACUGGAACUGAGACACGGUCAAGACUCCUACGGGAGGCAGCAGUAGGGAAUCUUCCGCAAUGGGCGAAAGCCUGACGGAGCAACGCCGCGUGAGUGAUGAAGGUCUUCGGAUCGUAAAACUCUGUUAUUAGGGAAGAACAUAUGUGUAAGUAACUGUGCACAUCUUGACGGUACUUAAUCAGAAAGCCACGGCUAACUACGUG